rnacentral:rRNA from 1 species
UACCGGCGGCUCGAGUGGUGACCAUUUUUAUUGGGCUUAAAGCGUUCGUAGCUGGAUUGUUAAGUCUCUUGGGAAAUCUAACGGCUCAACCGUUAGGCGUCUAAGGGAUACUGGCAAUCUAGGGACCGGAAGAGGUGAGAGGUACUCCUGGGGUAGGAGUGAAAUCCUGUAAUCCUAGGGGGACCACCUGUGGCGAAGGCGUCUCACCAGGACGGCUCCGACAGUGAGGGACGAAAGAUGGGGGAGCAAACCGGAUUAGAUACCCGGGUAGUCCCAGCCGUAAACGAUGCGCGUUAGGUGUAUCAGCGACCACGAGUCGCUGAGGUGCCGAAGGGAAACCGUGAAACGUGCCGCCUGGGAAGUACGGUCGCAAGGCUGAAACUUAAAGGAAUUGGCGGGGAGCACCACAACGGGUGGAGCCUGCGGUUU